UUGAAAAAUGACGGGGAAAUAUCACUUCAAACUCACGGCCCGGAUAAGUAUCAUCCCCUUAGUUAACCCUCAUCGCUUUUGACGGUGAGGGUUUUUCUUUGGA
rfam:Escherichia hermannii NBRC 105704 DNA, contig: EH10570406.